rnacentral:lncRNA from 1 species
AGACCGGAUGUGGCUGUGCUUCAGACCGCGCGGGAAGUCCUGGGAUGGCGUGGAGCCCGCUUCAGCUGAAGGGACAGAGGGAGAGGCAGGGGCCAGACAGCGCCAACCACCUGAGACCCAGGCAAGAGACAGUAUGGUGGGUGGGGGUACUGCCCAGUAAGGGCUGGGGGAGAGGACUGAGGAAACCCUCCCUCCAUCAACGUGCCUGGGAGCCCUGCCAGGUGAGAGCCCUGUUGUUCCUGGAUGACUGUGGACCGCUCACUCCGGCCCCUCAGCCCCUACCCAGCCUGCCCCCAGGAGCAGCACGGCUGGGCACCAGCAUCUCUCCAGCUGGCAGUUGCCCCACUGGGAUCCCCCAAAUGCCCUGCAAGCCAAGGUGUGCAAGCCCUGCACACUGAGGGCUGGAGGGCAGCCCCCGUGCUGUGUUCCAGAUGGAGGGAGGGGUGGGGAGGGGGGAGCUACACUGGGGAGGGCUGCGCCGGUCACUGCCGAGGAGGGAAAGCCUCAA